rnacentral:rRNA from 1 species
CUGGUUGAUCCUGCCAGUAGUCAUAUGCUUGUCUCAAAGAUUAAGCCAUGCAUGUCUAAGUAUAAAUAGUAUACAGUGAAACUGCGAAAUGGCUCAUUAAAACAGUUAUAGUUUAUUUGAUAAUGAAAAAUUACAUGGAUAACCGUGGUAAUUCUAGAGCUAAUACAUGCUGUAAGACGCGACUUUCGGAGCGUUGUAUUUAUUAGAUAUAAGCCAAUCCCUUCGGGGUUGAGAUGAAUCAUAGUAACUGAUCGAAUCUCAUAGUUGAGAUGCGUCAUUCAAGUUUCUGCCCUAUCAGCUUUUGAUGGUAGUGUAUUGGACUACCAUGGCAGUCACGGGUAACGGAGAAUUAGGGUUCGAUUCCGGAGAGGGAGCCUGAGAAACGGCUACCACAUCUAUGGAAGGCAGCAGGCGCGUAAAUUACCCAAUCCUGAUUCAGGGAGGUAGUGACAAGAAAUAACAACCUAUGUCCUCACGGACUGUGGAUUGUAAUGAGUUUAAUUUAAAACACUGAACGAGGAACAAUUGGAGGGCAAGUCUGGUGCCAGCAGCCGCGGUAAUUC